AUUGCUUCUCAGCCUUUUGGCUAAGUUCAAGUGAAGUAUCUGUUCUUAUCAGUUUAAUAUAGGACACACAUGGAAAUAUGUCAUUCUCAGUUUGAUUUAUAUUUUACCUUGGGACAGUGUUCUCCAGCUCCAUCCAUUUUCCUUAAAUUGACACAAUUGCAUUUUUCUUUAUGACCUAAUAAUAAUAU